rnacentral:ncRNA from 1 species
CGCUGGCGAAGGAGGAUGCCUUAAUUCCCAGUG